rnacentral:rRNA from 1 species
UACGGAGGGGGCUAGCGUUGUUCGGAAUUACUGGGCGUAAAGCGCGCGUAGGCGGCUUUGUAAGUUAGAGGUGAAAGCCCAGGGCUCAACCCUGGAAUUGCCUUUAAGACUGCAUCGCUUGAACAUCGGAGAGGUAAGUGGAAUUCCGAGUGUAGAGGUGAAAUUCGUAGAUAUUCGGAAGAGCACCAGUGGCGAAGGCGACUUACUGGACGAUUGUUGACGCUGAGGUGCGAAAGCGUGGGGAGCAAACAGG